rnacentral:rRNA from 1 species
UCUGGUUGAUCCUGCCAGUAGCAUAUGCUUGUCUUGAAGAUUAAGCCAUGCAUGUCUAAGUAUAAGUAUUAUAUCUCGAAACUGCGAAUGGCUCAUUAAAACAGUUAUAAUUUAUUUGAUGAUCUUUUACAUGGAUAACCGUGGAAAACUAGGGCUAAUACAUGCUAAAAAACCGAAAGGUGGUAUUUAUUAGUUUCAAAUCAAUGUAACUCAGUUAUGUAGUGAGGAAUCAUAAUAACUAAACGAAGCGCAGCAAUGCGCUACAUCAUUCAAGUUUCUGCCCUAUCAGCUUUCGAUGGUAGUGUAUUGGACUACCAUGGCAAUAACGGGUAACGGAGAAUUGGGGUUCGAUUCCGGAGAGGGAGCCUGAGAAACGGCUGCCAUUUCUAAGGGAGGCAGCAGGCGCGUAAAUUACCCAAUCCUGAUUCAGGGAGGUAGUUAAUAGAAAUAAUAGAUUCGGCUCUUUGAGCUCUGAAUAUAUAAUGAAAUAAAUUUAAAACACUUUUCGAAUCCUAUUGGAGGGCAAGUCUGGUGCCAGCAGCCGCGGUAAUUCCAGCUCCAAUAGCGUAUAUUAAAGUUGUUGCAGUUAAAAAGCUCGUAGUUGAAAUUCCGGCGUUCUUCGCCUGUCUGGAAAGAGUCGCUAUACUGUAAAAAGUUUGGCGGCUUCGAACAGACUUUUACCGUGAACAAAUUAAAGUGCUUAAAGCAGGCUUUUGCUUGAAUAGUUUAGCAUGGAAUAAUAAAAUACGACCUUAUUCAUUUUAUUGGUUAUUGAAUAAAGUAAUGAUUAACAGGAACAGUUGGGGGCAUCCGUAUUUGAAAGUCAGAGGUAAAAUUCUUUUAUCUUUCAAAGACGAACUAAAGCGAAAGCAUUUGCCAAGGAUGUUUUCAUUAAUCAAGAACGAAAGUUAGGGGAUCAAAGACGAUUAGAUACCGUCGUAGUCCUAACUAUAAACUAUACCGACUAGGGAUUGGUGAGGAAAACCCUCAUCAGGACCUAAUGAGAAAUCAAAGUCUUUGGGUUCUGGGGGGAGUAUGGUCGCAAGGCUGAAACUUAAAGGAAUUGACGGAAGGGCACUACCAGGAGUGGAGUCUGCGGCUUAAUUUGAUUCAACACGGGAAAACUUACCAGGGCAAAAAGUUGAUAGGAUUGACAGCUUGAGAGCGCUUUCUUGAUCCGAUAGCAAGUGAUGCAUGGCCGUUCUUAGUUGGUGGAGUGAUUUGUCCGGUUAAUUCCCUUAACGAACGAGACCUUAACCUGCUAAAUAGAAGUAGUUAUACACUAGCUAUAUUCUUCUUAGAGGGACUACUUUCGUAAGGAAGUGGAAGUUUGAGGCAAUAACAGGUCCGUGAUGUCCUUAGAUGUUCUGGGCCGCACGCGUACUACACUGAUGCAAGCAAUAAGUCACCUAUCCUGAAGAGGUAUGGGUAAUCUUCAUAAACUGCAUCGUGCUUGGGAUAGAUCUUUGCAAUUAUAGAUCUUGAACGAGGAAUUCCUAGU